rnacentral:rRNA from 1 species
UACGGGGGGGGCAAGCGUUGUUCGGAAUUACUGGGCGUAAAGGGUUCGUAGGUGGCCAACUAAGUCAUACGUGAAAUCCCUCAGCUUAACUGGGGAACUGCGUCUGAUACUGGUUGGCUUGAGUGCAGGAGAGGAACGCGGAAUUCCAGGUGUAGCGGUGAAAUGCGUAGAUAUCUGGAGGAACACCGGUGGCGAAGGCGGCAUCCUGGACCAACACUGACACUGAGGAGCGAAAGCCAGGGGGGCAAACGGG